AUGGAAGAAACAAGUGCGACCUCGCCCCCACCAGUCCUGGCAUGCCCGACCAAUCCAUGUAGUGUACUAGCAGCCAUCUCAGAAUCAGUCAAUAGUGUCCCAAUGACAGAAUUAAGUGAUGCUCACUCUGUUUCAGAGAUUAAUUCCAGUAUGCUUUAUUUUGAUGAAUUCUCUACACCCAAGAAGAGACAAUGCUUUUCUCUAGAUGGUUCAUUGUAUAAACCAGUGUGUGAUGAGGCACUUAAACCAACCAUAGGCAUGAAAUUUGAUGAUAUUGCUGCUGUGGAGGCAUUUUACAAGAAGUAUGCACAUCAUGUGGGAUUUGGUGUCCGCCUUAGGGCGCAAAGGUUGGUGAACAAUGUAAUUCAGUGGAAGCGUUUCUUAUGCUCAAGGGAGGGAUACCGAUCCUCAAAAGGUACUUGUACUGUUAAUUGCUUGGAUAAAAAUUCUUCAAAUAAAAGACGCAGGGUCAGAGUCACUAGGUGUGGAUGUGAAGCUCACAUUUAUGUCAAUCGGGACAAUUGCGGAAAAUACAAGAUAGCUUCAAUGACUGAACAUCACAAUCACGAACUAGUGUCUCCUAGCAAGCAACACUUGAUAAGAUCAAAUAGGAAAGUAAGUGACAAGGUGAAGUCAGUACUCUUUGAUUGCCACAAAGCUAGCAUCGGCCCAGCCCAAGCAUAUAGGCUACUUCAUGUUCGUGCAGGGAGGUUUCAAGAUGUUGGGUGCACCAAGAAAGACUUACAGAAUCACUAUUCUAUGUUCAAAAAUAAAAUCAAGAAUUGUGAUGCUCAAAUGCUAGUGGACCAAUUUGGGAGACUGAAGGAACUCAACCCUGGAUUUUUCUUUGACUACGAAGUCGAUGAAACUGGUACACUAUUGCGUUUGUUUUGGGCAGAUCCAACCAGCAGGAAAAAUUACAGUCAUUUCCAUGAUGUGUUGUCCUUUGAUUCCACAUACAGCACGAACCAAUACGACUAUAUUUUCGCGCCUUUCACUGGUAUCAACCAUCAUAUGCAGAGUGUGUUUCUAGGUGCUGGUUUCUUACUCAAUGAGACGGCCAAGGACUACGUCUGGUUGUUUGACGUUUUUCUCAAGGGACAAUUGCAUUUUUACCCCUAG
rnacentral:rRNA from 1 species